CAGCGAAAUGCGAUACGUAAUGCGAAUUGCAGAACUCCGUGAAUCAUCGAAUUUUUGAACGCAUGUUGCGCCCGAGGCUCCGCCAAGGGCACGUCCGCUUGAGCGCCACAA
rnacentral:rRNA from 1 species